rnacentral:lncRNA from 1 species
UUCGAGGCAACAAAUCAUCAUCUUCAUGAUUACCAGCGUCAUUAAAAUUAAGAGCAUAGCUUUUUGGAUCAUACUGAAACGGCGUCGUAUUAGCGUUAGAUCUAUUCCUCCUCCUACUAAACCUUCUGAUGAAGUUUUUCCACUUGGGUCCUGCAACAAGCUCUGAAUACUCCUUCAAACUCUUGGCACGUUUCAUGAACCACGUCAGAAGAAGAGGUGGAAACAACCGUUGGAUGUUAAGAUGACGUCGUCGUCGUCAUGAGGGAUAUCUUUCCCUUCGUGAUCAUGUUCCAUGAUGAUCGGUGUGGU